rnacentral:misc_RNA from 1 species
AAAUGCGAUAAGUAAUGUGAAUUGCAGAAUUCAGUGAAUCAUCGAAUCUUUGAACGCACAUUGUGCCCGCCAGUAUUCUGGCGGGCAUGCCUGUCCGAGCGUCAUUUCAACCAUCAAGCCCCCGGGCUUGUGUUGGGGACCUGCGGCUGCCCGCAGGCCCUGAAAACCAGUGGCGGGCUCGCUGUCACACCGAGCGUAGUAGCAAUCACCUCGCUCAGGGCGUGCUGCGGGUUCCGGCCGUUAAACAGCCUUACAAAACCCAAGGUUGACCUCGGAUCAGGUAGGAAGACCCGCUGAACUUAAGC